UACAGAGGGUGCGAGCGUUGUCCGUAAUCACUGGGCGUAAAGGGUGCGUAGGUGGCUUGGUAAGCGUGUGGCGAAAGUCCGGGGCUCAACCCCGGAUCUGCCGUGCGAACUGCUGAGCUCGAGCAAUGUAGAGGCAGGUGGAAUUUCGGGUGUAGCGGUGGAAUGCGUAGAGAGCCGAAAGAACACCAGUGGCGAAGGCAGCCCCCGGGGAUAACACGGACGCUCAUGGACGAAAGCGUGGGUAGCAAACAGG
rnacentral:rRNA from 1 species